CCUACGGGGGGCUGCAGUAAGGAAUGUUGGUCAAUGGACGAAAGUCUGAACCAGCCAUGCCGCGUGGAGGAUGAAGGUCCUCUGGAUUGUAAACUUCUUUUAUAUGGGACGAAAAAAGGCCUUUCCAGGUCGUCUGACGGUACCAUAUGAAUAAGCACCGGCUAACUCCGUGCCAGCAGCCGCGGUAAUACGGAGGGUGCAAGCGUUAUCCGGAUUCACGGGGGUGAAAGGGUGCGGAGAAGGGAGUGGUGAAAGCCCCGAGCUUAACUUGGGAACUGCCAUUGAUACUAUCAGUCUUGAAGACCGUGGAGGUCAGCGGAAUAUGUCAUGUAGCGGUGAAAUGCUUAGAUAUGACAUAGAACACCAAUUGCGAAGGCAGCUGGCUACACGAGUAUUGACACUGAGGCACGAAAGCGUGGGGAUCAAACAGGAUUAGAUACCCCGGUAGUC
rnacentral:rRNA from 1 species